AUGGUCCUACAUACUAACUAUAGAAAAUAAUUAAGUGCGUCUGUCCUGACAACAGAUGCAACCAAAUUAAAUAUUCACGAACAUGUUAGUUUUCCUUAAUCCACGAAAAUUGGUACCCACGAAAAUAAGUGAAUCCACAGUAUGCCGUGAUUCAAUUCUAUCAUUGCUGGAGCGAUAUGUUGUUCUUUUGUACCAUCGGACAAGUGAAUCAAACAGUGUAAAUGAAGCUAGAAAAGUACUCUUGGCACAUAAAGGUAGAUCAAUCGAGUCUGUACCACCAACAAGAGAGGCACUUUACCAAAAUACCACACGUUCUGUGUACCAAGCUGGAUUGAUUUGGAUGCAGUGUUUGCUUUUACAGCCUGUUCUUCCAUCCCCAGACUUGUAUGGGUGGAAGAAGCAAGACAACGGCAUGUAAGAACCCGUUCUGGACAAUAUUGGCAGAGGCAGCCUCUCCACUACAGAGCUUGUUCACUGUGGAUGCAAGAAAGGUUGUCGAGAACAGUGCAAGGGUUUCAAAUCCGCUCUUCCGUGUACAGCUUUAGGCGAGUGUGGUGGAGAUUCUGCCUAAUGUACUGCAGAGUAUAGAGUUUACCGACACAAACAGGAUGAAUGAACGUCUUAUUGUAUAUAACAGCUACUGUAUAUAUAUAUAUAUUACUUUCAAUUGUACUCAUUUGAUAUUUAUUUUUUUUGUAAAUAUUGCAACGUC